CCUACGGGAGGCAGCAGUGAGGAAUAUUGGUCAAUGGCCGAGAGUCUGAACCAGCCAAGUAGCGUGAAGGAUGACUGCCCUAUGGGUUGUAAACUUCUUUUGUAAAGGAAUAAAGUGAGUCACGUGUGCCUUUUUGUAUGUAUUUUAUGAAUAAGGAUCGGCUAACUCCGUGCCAGCAGCCGCGGUAAUACGGAGGAUCCGUGCGUUAUCCGGAUUUAUUGGGUUUAAAGGGUGCGUAGGGUGAUUGUUCAGUCCGUUGUGAAAGUUGCUGGCUCAACCGUAAAAUUGCAGUUGAAACUGGAAGUCUUGAGUACGGUAGAGGUGGGCGGAAGGCGUGGUGUAGCGGUGAAAUGCUUAGAUAUCACGAAGAACUCCGAUUGCGAAGGCAGCUCACCGGACUGCAACUGACACUGAUGCACGAAAGUGUGGGUAUCAAACAGGAUUAGAUACCCCUGUAGUC
rnacentral:rRNA from 1 species